CCACGUGGAAGCUGCUGCUGCUGGCCGCUGUGGCCACCGUGGCCACCGCUCAGUCCCUGAGCUACGAAGAGGCUGUAGUUGCCGCCGUCACCGAGUACAACAGAGAAUCGGACGCAGACGCUCUCUUCUGGCUCCUUGAGCUCAAACCCCAAGAGAGGCCCCUCGAGUCCCGCAAAGCCAUCCCCGUGAACUUCACCAUCCAGGAAACCGUGUGCCCCAAAGUGGAGAAUCGUAGCCCGGACCAGUGUGACUUCAAAGAGGGAGGGGUGGUGAGAAACUGUUCGGGCACUGUGCUUCCAACACAGGAAGCCCCCGUGGUCACGCUCACUUGCGACAGGCCUAUUCGGACCAAGCGACGCAUCAAACUCAUAAAGAACGGAGUGAAGAAGGUGAAAGAUAUAUUAAAAAACAACAACAUCAUCAUCUUACCAGGGAGUAAUGAAAAGUAGGCCCUGGGGGCAGAGGCAGCCCGAACCGUCUCCCCCCGACACUGUCACCUCAUCCUGACUCUGCAGGGUCCUGCUGGUGACCCCCUCCCCGCAACCCGGUUCCCCCACCCCUCCCAUC